UACAGAGGGGGCAAGCGUUAUUCGGAAUUAUUGGGCGUAAAGGGCGCGUAGGCGGCCAUUCAAGUGACGGGUGAAGCCCUCGGCUUAACCGAGGAACUGCCUGUCAGACUGGAUGGCUUGGAGACCGGGAGAGGUGAAGUGGAAUUCCCAGUGUAGGCGGUGAAAUGCGUAGAUAUUGGGAGGAACACCAGUGGCGAAGGCGGCUCACUGGACCGGAACUGACGCUGAGGCGCGAAAGCGUGGGGAGCAACA
rnacentral:rRNA from 1 species